rnacentral:rRNA from 1 species
CCGGCCGCCAGCGGCGCUCGCAAAGUUCGGAUCCGCAAGGACCGGGCCAGCGGGACGUCCGCGUGGCAGGGUGCACUUUCUCCGCGGUCGAGUGCUACGACCGGUUUCGAGGCGGUCAGAAGCCCGGCGGAAAGGUAGCGCCGCCCUUCGGGGUGUCGUGUUAUAGGCCGCCGCGGUGGACUCGCCGCGAGACCGAGGACGCUUGCCGCGCCGAGCGGUCCCGGGCCGUCUUGGGAGGUUCGACCUCGGCUGCACUGCUCCGCAAAGCACCGUAACCGCCGCCCUAGCACGGGUCCGGAGACCGCCGGCGCCUCGGGUCAGUAGCG